ACCCGCCCCCGAUGACAAGGUUGCCACAUGAGGCAGCCUUCCGUACCAGGAGUACGGAUAGUCGGGGGGUUUUAU
rnacentral:ncRNA from 12 species